ACCGGCAGCUCAAGUGGUGGCCAUUUUUAUUGGGCCUAAAGCGUUCGUAGCCGGUUUGAUAAGUCUCUGGUGAAAUCCCGCAGCUUAACUGUGGGACUUGCUGGAGAUACUAUUAGACUUGAGGUCGGGAGAGGUUAGGGGUACUCCCAGGGUAGGGGUGAAAUCCUAAAGUACUGGGAGGACCACCUAUCGCGAAGGCGACUAACUGGAACGAUCCUGACGCUGAUUCACGAAAGCCAGGGGCGCAAACUG
rnacentral:rRNA from 1 species